UACGUAGGGGGCGAGCGUUGUCCGGAUUUAUUGGGCGUAAAACGCUUGUAGGUGGCUACGUCAAGUCGGACGUGAAAUCUCCCGGCUUAACUGGGAGGGGUCGCUCGAUACUGGCGAGCUCGAGGCAGGUAGGGGGAAGCGGAAUUCCCGGUGUAGUGGUGGAAUGCGUAGAUAUCGGGAGGAAUACCUGAGGUGAAGACGGGUUGCUAGGCCGACACUGACGCUGAAGCGCGAAAGCCAGGGGAGCAAACGGG
rnacentral:rRNA from 1 species